GACGAACGCUGGCGGCGUGCUUAACACAUGCAAGUCGAACGAAGAGCGAUGGAAGCUGCUUUCUAUCAAUCUUAGUGGCGAACGGGUGAGUAACGCGUAAUCAACCUGCCCUUCAGAGGGGGACAACAGUUGGAAACGACUGCUAAUACCGCAUACGAUCUAAUCUCGGCAUCGAGGAUAGAUGAAAGGUGGCCUCUACAUGUAAGCUAUCACUGAAGGAGGGGAUUGCGUCUGAUUAGCUAGUUGGAGGGGUAACGGCCCACCAAGGCGAUGAUCAGUAGCCGGUCUGAGAGGAUGAACGGCCACAUUGGGACUGAGACACGGCCCAGACUCCUACGGGAGGCAGCAGUGGGGAAUCUUCCGCAAUGGACGAAAGUCUGACGGAGCAACGCCGCGUGAGUGAUGACGGCCUUCGGGUUGUAAAGCUCUGUUAAUCGGGACGAAAGGCC
rnacentral:rRNA from 1 species